rnacentral:rRNA from 1 species
AGUGAACGCUGGCGGUAGGCCUAACACAUGCAAGUCGAACGGCAGCACAGUAAGAGCUUGCUCUUACGGGUGGCGAGUGGCGGACGGGUGAGGAAUACAUCGGAAUCUACUUUUUCGUGGGGGAUAACGUAGGAAAACUUACGCUAAUACCGCAUACGACCUACGGGUGAAAGCAGGGGAUCUUCGGACCUUGCGCGAUUGAAUGAGCCGAUGUCGGAUUAGCUAGUUGGCGGGGUAAAGGCCCACCAAGGCGACGAUCCGUAGCUGGUCUGAGAGGAUGAUCAGCCACACUGGAACUGAGACACGGUCCAGACUCCUACGGGAGGCAGCAGUGGGGAAUAUUGGACAAUGGGCGCAAGCCUGAUCCAGCCAUACCGCGUGGGUGAAGAAGGCCUUCGGGUUGUAAAGCCCUUUUGUUGGGAAAGAAAAGCAGCAGGUUAAUACCCCGCUGUUCUGACGGUACCCAAAGAAUAAGCACCGGCUAACGUCGUG